GUUACAUAGGAGUCCCCGCCAAAUAAUUUUUCACUACUAAGGCCGCUAAUGCCGACGUGGCGGUUGGAACGCUAGGUCGGAUUGGUAUCGAUAAGCCAAACCCUACUUGGUUCGUCCUGCUCCUCGCAGUCUCGGAAGUCAAGAACCGAGAAAUUUCUAAUAUGAGAGAUAGAGAUACGCCACCCUAGGGUUCAAUUCUUCAAUUUGCAUCCCUUAGUCCUCUCUUUACCCGUCAUUUUCAGUUUUUCUGUUUCAAGGACGCAAAUUUUGUAAACUGCUUGGGAUUGUUAUAAUUAUCCAUGUUUGCCCAAUGCAGUGCUUGAGGGUGUUAUGGCCGCUUCGCCAUGCAUGCUAGUGCAUGCAUUCUCAUUCCUUUCAUCGUUAAUUUGAGUUCUUUUUUAAUUAAUUAAACUCCAUUGGAAGAGAGAGUAGCUGCUCCAUGUCUAUUAGAAGCGAUUUUCACUGUUUCCAAGGAAUUCAUUCACUCACAUCUUGCUCAAAGCAUGAUCAUAGUUCGAGACGCCUUUUGUUUAGGACAUCUGCUGCAGUUUACAUGAAUAAUCACCCGAACCUUCAUAAUCCCAGAAGCGAACCCUCCAUAAAGCAGGAAAUUGUUGUUACCCCCCAGGCUGUUGUGCAUGUUUCUCCACAGGAGAAUAUUAUUUACUCAGAGGUAAAUAAUGGGAAUAAAGUCAACUAUAACAGUUUUGGAAAAGUUAUUGCUUCCAAAGCUAUGAGCUUUAUGAAGAAGAAUGGAACUGCAUUUUCUCCUGAUGGUUAUUUUUUAAACUACAAUGAGGGAUCCAACAACAACAUUUUAUGUCACUAUUGUCAGAACGGUAAGCUGAUUGAAGCCUGCCGUCUUAUUGAUAUCAUGGCACGAUAUGGGCAGAUCCCUGACUUUGAGUGCUGUGCAAACCUGAUCAGAGGAUUAGUAAAUGCCGAAAGAGUGGAGAAAGCUUGCAAAGUUCUUAAAGUCAUGGUUAUGUCAGGUGGAAUCCCUGAUAUAAUCACUUACAACAAAUUGAUUGGUGGGUAUUGCAAGAGAGGGCAACUUGCUUCUGCCAUUAAUCUUGUUGAAGAUAUGAGUUUUACUGGUUGUCCUCCAGAUGUCAUAACUUUCAAUACAUUGUUCAGGUGCAUGUUUAAUGAAGGAAGGUAUGAGGAAGCUAUUUGGUUUUGGAGAAGCCAUUUGAGAAAAGGUUAUCCUCCAUAUCUAAUAUCUUACACAGUGCUUCUUGAACUCGUUUGCAAACAUUGUGGGGUUUCCAGAGCCAUGGAGGUUUUAGGCGAUAUGUCACUAGAAGGGUGCCAUCCAGAUAUAGUAUCUUACAACUCUCUUUUAAAUGUGAUAUGUAAAGAGGGGAAAUUUGAGGAUGCAAUGAUAGUUAUGCAAGCUCUUUUGCAGUAUGGUUUGGAGCCAAAUGCAAUCACAUAUAAUACUUUGCUUCAUUGUCUCUGCAGCCAAGGUAAAUGGGUUGAAGCAGAUCAUGUUCUAUCAGUAAUGAAGCAGGCUUCUUAUCGUCCAUCAGUUGUUACUUACAAUAUCUUGAUCAAUAAUUUGUGCAAACAUCAACUACUAGAUCAGGCCAUAGAUAUCCUGGAGAAUAUGGUAUCUGAGGGAUGCUGUCCUGAUAUAAUCACGUAUAAUACUCUUCUUGGAGCAAUGUGUAAAGAAAAUAUGACAGAGGAGGCUUUAGAUGUUAUUCAAUAUAUGAGAGAAAAUGAUAUUAGUUUGGUUCUGAUCUCUUAUAACAUAUUAAUUGAUGGAUUUUCAAGGAAUGGUGAGAUAGAGAAAGCAAUGGUGGUGUUUGAUGAAAUGAUUGGUGAUGGUAUCACGCCGGAUGACAUCACAUACGGAUCGCUGGUAGUAGGGUUUUGCAAGAAAGAUAUGGUGAAGGAGGCCAUGCAAAUGUUGAAGGAGAUGUUCAGGAUCAAUUGCAGGAUUAGGGGAUCUACUUACACUGUUUUGAUACAAGCGUUAUGUAGGAAUCAACAGUUGGAUUCAGCUAUUGAGGUCUUGGAUAUGAUGGUAUCUAGUUGUGCUAAGCCAAGUAAAGCAAUUUAUGAAUCUUUGGUUAAGGGCAUUGCUGAUUCUGGUCUCUUAGAUGGAGCAGCCACACUGCAAAAAAAAUUAGUCGAGUAUAAGAUUCUCGGAGAAACUUCUUGAUUAGAUCAUUUUUAGAUUGAUAGAAAUGCAGAACCUAACCAAUUUUGACAUCAUUAAAGGCAUAGUGCUAUGCGUGCACUGGAAUAUGUUGUUGCUGACUACCUACUAAGAUUGUAUUGGUUGGAUAAUGAGAAGUUUCAAGGUAUAUCAACGAAGGGCUUCGUGGACAUCGUUGGCAGUUGAAUGCAUGAGUGUAUGUCAAGGUGUUUUGAUAGUCCGCUUGAGCAACUAGUUAGGAUAUUCAGAUGUUGCGUGCAUGUAUGGCAUGAACACAAGGAUUGUGUACUUUGGUAUUUACAUGAAGAGGCGAUGGAGGGGAGGGCAACAGAACUGAAAUUUUCUUAAAUGCUAGAGGCUGGAAAUAUGUGGAAAAUAAGGUUUUUUGAGAAAGAUCGCCACUUUAUUAGUGUUCAUUUUCUUCAAACGCGUUUUCAUGAGCUACGCUUUAACAGGGAAGGUGGAGAUUCAAAUGUAGUUGAAAGAUCAACUUGUGACGUAGAUAAUAUCAUUCUUAUUGACCUUGGGAUCUAGCUGAGGAAGUUUUUAUUUCAGACUUGUAUAAGAAAAGAAUGAAGAAGUUUCUGACUGGAAGUAAGCAAAUGAAGUUUUUAAACCUGGCUGACUAGCAAGAUCUGCAGUAUGAGUUUCACUUUCAUUUUGCUUUUUUCCCUACUUAAAGUCAACUACAUGAGCGUAUGCGGCAACUUUUGCAACACUUGUAAUAAUGUAAUCACCUUUAUGUUAUUUGUUAGGUUUAGUGUUUUCUUUAUGUUUUU